AGUAGUUGGUAUGGUCCGAGACAGCAUGGCUGCUGCACUUCGGCCCUCGAAUCGAGUUCUCCUGCAGGCGCUGCAGAUUUUGGUGUAUCCUGGGGUGGGAGGCUCCGGCUCUGUCAGAUGCCGCUGCCCUCUCGGAGCUAAAAGAUACCUACUUACAGAUAAUGUGGUGAAAUUAAAAGAAUUUCAACAAAAGAAAGUGGCUGUUGCAUGUAAUCUUUCUGGCACUAAAGAAACGUAUUUUAGAAACUUGAAAGAGAAACUGACCCAGAACAAGCUCAUCUUGAAGGGGGAGUUGAUAACCUUACUUCAUUUGUGUGAGUCCCGGGACCAUGUGGAGCUGGCUAAAAAUGUCAUUUACAGGUACCAUGCAGAGAACAAAAAUUUCACUUUGGGGGAGUAUAAAUUUGGACCGCUUUUUGUGAGGUUGUGUUACGAGUUGGAUCUUGAGGAAUCUGCAGUGGAGCUCAUGAAAGACCAGCAUUUACGAGGUUUCUUCUCAGACUCCACAUCAUUCAAUAUUUUGAUGGAUAUGUUAUUUAUCAAAGGCAAAUAUAAAAGUGCUUUGGAAGUAUUGAUAGAGAUGAAAAACCAAGAUGUGAGGUUCACGAAAGAUACCUAUGUUCUUGCUUUUGCAAUUUGCUACAAACUGAAUAGCCCCGAGUCUUUCAAAAUCUGUACUACAUUAAGAGAAGAAGCUCUACUCAAAGGAGACAUUCUCUCCAGGAGAGCAUCCUGUUUUGCUGUGGCAUUAGCUUUGAAUCAGAAUGAGGUGGCAAAAGCUAUGUCCAUUUUUUCUCAAAUCAUGAAUCCAGAAAGCAUAGCCUGCACUAAUUUAAAUAUUAUAAUCCAUAUCCAGUCAAAUAUGUUGGGAAAUGUGAUAGAGACUCUAAAAAAUGCUGCAGAAGAAAAUUUAUCAAAAUUUGUGAAAAGACGUGCGUUCUCGGAGGAAGUGCUGGCCAAAGUGAGGGAAAAAGUGAAGGAUGUGCCUGCCCUUGUGGCCAAAUUUGAUGAGAUCUAUGGGACACUGCACAUCACUGGCCAGAUCACCACUGAUUCUUUGGAUGCUGUGCUCUGCUACACCCCCAGGGACAGGAAAUCCCACACAUUGCUAUUAAACAAGAGGAUGGUCAGCCGUCGCACCUUCCAGCCACUCAGCCAGUCCCUGUUGGCUGAGUAACCCUGGUUUCAGUCCACCUAUGGAUCUGAGGGACCUGCUUCUAGUGAGUUACUGCCUUUCCUGAGAAGCCAGGCAUCGCACUUCAGCAGACAGUGUGCUGACACUUGGUCUUCUCCUGAAAUUCCCAAAUUCACUGAAUGGUACCAUGCCGAUCUCUGAGAAGUUAUGUUGCACCACUGUGAAGGUCUAGAUGCAAGCUUGGCUCCCUCAGAAAGGCGCUUCCCUUUUGCAUGGCUGAGGAUCCUUGAAGAAACAUGGUCAGUCUCCAGUUCAGCUUCCGGCACCAGAGUGGAACCCAGUUAAGGAAACGAUCCAUGCAAGACAGGCCCAAUCUCAACUGUAGACUGUGUCCUGGUAAGAGAAUCACAGCUUCAGGUGUUUGCUGAAUCCAGGUCUGAGAUCACAGUCCCACCUGAGGACAGGAUCCACAUAUGAGAGUCACACAUUGGCAUAAUUGAUUUGUGGUAGAGCUGAGAUUAGAAUCCAGAUUCGUAGUCUAAUAUCCUUCCCACUGUACUACAUUGUCUCUUUUCAGAGGAGAAAAAGGAGCAGCUCUUAAGAAACAGAAUAACAAGGGCCCCCAUGACUGUGUGGCCCUGGGCAUCCUCAGUUUCCUCAUUUGGUAAAUGGGGAUAAUAGUACCUGCCUCUUAGGCUUGGUGUGAGGAUGAAAUGAGAUAGGGAAUAUAAAGCAAGCAGAUAGUGGCUGGCACAUAGUACAUGCAAUAUGUUUGAAACUAGUUAAGGAAUUAUAAAAACAAAUGAGUUCUUCCUUCUGCUCAAAAAUAUUGAAUUUCUUUUCCUUGUGCUCUGUGAAACAUUGAACAGCCCCAUUUAGAGAAACAAAUUCUCUGCCCUGAUAGAAUCCUAAUUGUUUCUGUAUGUGUCUGGUGUUUUGCACAUGCAAAAAAAAAAAAAAAAGUGUUUGGAUUUCUCCACUUUCAGUCUUAGGGAAUAAUAGGGCAUACUUCCUGUCCCCUCAACUUACUUUUCAUCUUCUCCAACUCUCACAGUUCAAAUGGCUCCAGUGCUGUGAGUGAGUGUAGCCUUGGUUGUUAGCUAACAACCAUUCAUUAGCAAAAUAACCAAAUUUUGUGAGCAGUAAAUAGCAACAAGCUUCCCAAUCCCUGCUGCCCUGAGCAGCAGGUGGCUGCUUCUCAGCCGACUGGAAUAACUGGUCCAUUCCACCUGUUCCCAGAAACCUUAGUACAGAGGUACUAAGAGAGUACUAUAUGCAUAGUGUUCACCCCAAAGUAAUAGAUGAUUUUAAAGUCUUAAAAAUCCAAUAAAAAAGUGUUCAGUAUAGGUUAUGAUGGGCAUUUCAUUCUUUAAAACUCAGUAAUUCCUUUGAAAAAAUGGUGUUUCUUUAUAAGCAGUAGUUUGCCUACAUCAUUUACUUGUUUUUUUCUGCUUUGGGUUUUUUUUUUUUGAGACACAAUUUCACUCUGUCACCCAGGCUGAAGUGCAGUGGUGUGAUCUCAGCUCACUGCAACUUCUGCCUCCUGGGUUCAAGCAAUUCUCAUGCCCCAGCCUCCCAAGUAGCUGGGAAUACAGUUGUGUGCCACCACACUAGCUUAUUUUUUGUAUUUUUUUUAGUAGAGAUGGGGUUUCACCAUGUUGGCCAGGCUGGUCUCUAACUCUUAUCCUCAAGUGAUCUGCCUGCCUUGGCCUCCCAAAGUGCUGGGAUUACAGGCAUGAGCCACCACACCUGGCCUACUUAUCCCAUUAACGAAAAUAUUUGAUUGGACAGAACAUCUUAUUCCUUAACUCUGUUAUGUGCUUUUGUAGAUUGUUUUUACUUACUAUAGAUGUCUGUUGUUCCAGAGUCCCAGAAAUCAGUAUGGUGAGUUCAGCACAGUUACUAGAAGGAGACAAAAAGAUAUCUUCUUAAUUAGGUGAUAUCAGGGAUAGUUCUGGUUAUUGAUUGCUGUAUGGAAAACACUCCAAAACUCAGUGACUUUAAACAACACCAGUCAUUGAGUUAUUUCUCAUUUUCCUAAGUACUGACUGGGCUCAGCCAGACAGUUCUUAUUCGGGUUCUCAUGCAGUUAUAGUCAUCAUCAGAUUGUGGCCAGGACUGGAAUAAUCUCAAAGGCUUCCUUAGUAUUUCUGGCAGUUGAUGCUAGGACCUCAGCUAGUGCUGGGGCUGGAACAUAUCUACACAUAGCUUCACCACAGCAUGGUGGCUAGGUACUAGGAGUGACUGUCCCAAGAGGACCAGGCAGAAGCAGUUACAUUUUAUGACCUAGUCUCAGAAGUCACAUAAUAUCACUUCCACUAAAGUCCCAAGCGCCCCCAGAUUCAAAUGGAAGGAGCAUACAUCCCAUCUCAGUGGUAGGAAUUUCAAAGAAUAAAUUCUGUGAAACUGUG